CUAAAUUUAUUUUUUUGCACGGCGUCCAUGUUUCAUUUUCGCGAGAUGAAGACUAUAGUUCGCUGUAUCCGGACAGCAGUAUAUUGUUUUGUUUUUCUACAUUUUUGUUUCACUGAAAAGGAUCUGAUGUUAUUACCAUAUUUCCGACGGUCUGAACGAAGACGAAUCAAAGGCACCAUGGAGAUAGAUUUCAGAAAAUGUUUCAAUUUUUUAUACAUUACUGUUCAUCGGGAUUCGGUUGAUUAUGAUCCUCCACUCAUUCCCAUUCAAGGUGGCCUCAUGCCCCCGCGGGGAUCGGGUCCGUGGAUUUUCUUCAUGUAUUUUUUAAUAUUUGAUGUUUUUGGGAUGUGUGCAAGGAUGUGUGGCACGGAAAAUCGAAAUACCGGCUCCAUAUAAAAUACACGGGGACCAAAAUCCGGCGGAAAUUAUUUCCUGACGCAUGGAGCUACCUUAUAAUCAAGUACCUGAUAGUGUAUACAAUAUGACUAAGUUACUUUUAU